rnacentral:rRNA from 1 species
AUUGAACGCUGGCGGCAUGCCUUACACAUGCAAGUCGAACGGCAGCACGGGAGCAAUCCUGGUGGCGAGUGGCGAACGGGUGAGUAAAGUAUCGGAACGUGCCCAGUCGUGGGGGAUAACGUAGCGAAAGUUACGCUAAUACCGCAUACGAUCUAUGGAUGAAAGCGGGGGAUCGCAAGACCUCGCGCGAUUGGAGCGGCCGAUAUCAGAUUAGGUAGUUGGUGGGGUAAAGGCUCACCAAGCCGACGAUCUGUAGCUGGUCUGAGAGGACGACCAGCCACACUGGGACUGAGACACGGCCCAGACUCCUACGGGAGGCAGCAGUGGGGAAUUUUGGACAAUGGGCGAAAGCCUGAUCCAUCCAUGCCGCGUGCAGGAUGAAGGCCUUCGGGUUGUAAACUGCUUUUGUACGGAACGAAAAGGUUUGGCCUAAUAAGCUGAGCUUAUGACGGUACCGUAAGAAUAAGCACCGGCUAACUACGUGCCAGCAGCCGCCGUAA